rnacentral:rRNA from 1 species
AUACGGAGGGCACAAGCGUUGUUCGGAAUUAUUGGGCGUAAAGCGCGUGUAGGCGGCUUGGUAAGUCGGAUGUGAAAGCCCGGGGCUCAACCCCGGAAUUGCAUACGAAACUGCCUCGCUAGAGUCUCGGAGAGGAGGGCGGAAUUCCCGGUGUAGAGGUGAAAGUCGUAGAUAUCGGGAGGAACACCAGUGGCGAAGGCGGCCCUCUGGACGAUGACUGACGCUGAGACGCGAAAGCGUGGGGAGCAAACGGGAUUAGAAACCCCUGUAGUCC